UACGUAGGGUGCAAGCGUUGUCCGGAAUUAUUGGGCGUAAAGAGCGCGCAGGCGGUCUAUCAAGUCAGAUGUGAAAUAUCCCGGCUUAACCGGGAGGGGUCAUUUGAAACUGGUAGACUAGAGUACAGCAGAGGAUAGCGGAAUUCCCGGUGUAGUGGUGAAAUGCGUAGAUAUUGGGAAGAACACCGGUGGCGAAGGCGGCGACCUGGUCCGAUACUGACGCUGAGGCGCGAAAGCGUGGGGAGCAAACAGG
rnacentral:rRNA from 1 species